AGGUAACACUUUGUAGUGAGGGUGUUGCUUGACGAAAAGAAGAUAGUUGUUGACGAUUGUGUAGUUUCGGUGCAGAAUACAGUUUCAGGAGUGAGGAGAAUGACCAGGUCCGUGACGGGUAGGCUGGCUAAUAAGCGAAAGCAGAACGAUAAAGAAACAGAACGAUAACGAAAGAAGGUAGAUGGAGAAACCGAUGAAGAAUGGGAACAAGAAGUCGAUGAAGGGCAAGUGAUGAAGAUGGUUAUCAAGAAGCGAAGCCCGCCGAAGGAUUACAACGCAUCAUCAGGUUUUCGUGGUGACGAUGGUGUGUUUUUUGGUUGGCUGCUAUGUGUUGUGAAGAUGGAUGUUGUUGUGAAGACCAUUUUUUAGAAGCAUUACAACUAUUGAUAUAAAAUUCAUUUUUAUUUUCAUUUUCAUUGUUAGUAUGCCCAUUUUUGGAUGAA